UGGCUCAAAUGGUAGAGCGCUUGCCUUGCAUGCAUGAGGUCCUGAGUUUGAUUCCUCAG
rnacentral:tRNA from 1 species